rnacentral:rRNA from 1 species
AUGCACAAUUGUUCCGUAGGUAUGUUCGGGAUGGCGGAGAAGGAGAUGGAGUACCGGGUCGAGCUUUUCAACCGGCUUACACAUGUUUGUUUUGAGAAGUGCAUUGAGAAAAGGCAUAAAGAAGGUGAACUCAAUAUGGGAGAGAACAGUUGCAUUGAUCGGUGUGUUUCAAAGUACUGGCAGGUGACUAACAUUGUCGGCGGAAUGCUCGGGACUCAGCAGACCCCGAUGUGA